rnacentral:rRNA from 1 species
CAGUCGCCGCGGUAAUACGUAGGGUGCGAGCGUUAAUCGGAAUUACUGGGCGUAAAGCGUGCGCAGGCGGUUGUGUAAGACAGUUGUGAAAUCCCCGGGCUCAACCUGGGAACUGCAUCUGUGACUGCAUCGCUGGAGUGCGGCAGAGGGGGAUGGAAUUCCGCGUGUAGCAGUGAAAUGCGUAGAUAUGCGGAGGAACACCGAUGGCGAAGGCAAUCCCCUGGGCCUGCACUGACGCUCAUGCACGAAAGCGUGGGGAGCAAACAGGAUUAGAUACCCCCGUAGUCCCUGUCUCUUAUAC